rnacentral:lncRNA from 1 species
AUGGGAAUUACGGGAGUACAAUUCAAGAAGAUUUAGGUGGGGACACAAAGCCAAACCAUAUUACAAGGUUUAUAGGCUUGCAGUAAGUAAAGAAUACCAUUUUCUGACAAGCCCAGGAACUUCAGGAUAUUUGGGGGACCUCAAAAAAGAGGGAUUUACCCAAUUCAUACAAGUAUUACAGGCAAAAUCUGAGGGUGAAUUGUUGGCCCGGCUUCCAAUCUUAAGAGGCUUUUAAAGAUUGAACCUGAAAUUCCUUAUAAAAAAAAGUUUCAGUCAAGUCAAUUUAAAAAGUGCUUACAUGGCCAAGUACUAUUCUGGCUGUACUUUAGUCAAAUAAUCAGGCCAAGUAUAACAAGUCUAAAACUUUAUUUUGCAAAUAAAUUGGUCCUACUCUCCUGCAGGGAGCUGUCCUCCUCCUUUCACCUGUUAAACGUCCACUCUCAACCUCACUCUCCAUGUGUCUGUAUCCUUUAGUUCCUCAGCCGUGAGACAAUGAUCCCAGGGUACCGCCCCAGACAAUGAGGCCAUUUCACUUGCACACUCACUUGUACACUCGAUUUGUCCCACUCUAGGCCCCCUACUAGGUACCUUGGGUAAGUAAUACAGCAUAUUUUUCUCCUAUGUUUUCUUAAAAUAAGUAAUGGGGAUACUAGAAGCUGCAAUCUCAGUUAUGCCAACAAUUAUGGAAUCCAUGGGAAGCACUUGUUACAGGACUUGGACCUGGUGAGCAUCUGUAUUUUUUCUGUGGCUGCUGUAACAAAUUACUACCAACUUGGUGAUUUAAAACAAUUCACACAGUAGAGAUGGCCUGAGUUCAAAGCACUUUCACGGGGCUAAAAUCGAGGUAUUUUGGGAGAGCUGCACUCCUUCUGGAGGCUCUUGGGGAGCACCAGCCCUUGGCUCUCCUGACUUCAGGUGGCUGCCAGCACUCCUUGGCUGCAGUGGCCUCACUGCAAUCUCUGUCUCUGUAGUCAUGCAGGGGCCAAGGCAACACUUCCCCUUCACCCUCUGAAGGCUUGCUAGUAAAUAAACUGACAAAAGGCAGAUUAAUUGGAGGAAAGGCGUGAACAUUUAUUAAUAGGUGCCUGGGGGAGAGCCACAGAGUGAUUGUCCCAUAUUCCAAUGGGGCCCAGAUACUUGUAUAGCCCUAUUUCAGAGGGGAAGAGGAGAUGGGAAUGUAGGUAAUUACAGGAUGAUAAAUGAUUACUGAAGAGAAUAAAUAGAUCAGGGAACAGGAAUUCACUUGUAAAUCAUGCUCUUUGAAAAUUGACUGAGACUGAGAGAUAGAUAUUGUCUUGUGAAAGUCUGUGCUGGCAUGGUUACACUCUUGUUCCUGUUUUCUGUAAUAGAUAAUGAGCUAACAGGGAGAGGAAGGAAAGACAAUUGUUCUCCUUGGAUACUCCCUCUGGUCUCUAUGUAGACAGAGAACGUUCUCCUCCAGCCUCUGUUGAUCUCUGAAGGUCUUUAAUUCAAAAUGCACGUUACAUCAGGGACCACUAUUUUGGGGGUCUGCUGUCAUGUGAUGCUAUACCAGAGUCAAGCUGGAAUUUGGCAUCUUAGUGCCAAAGGGUCUGUUUCAUCCAUGAAGGGAUGUCUAUUUUAAUGUUAAUGCUGCAGGUCAAGCAGUACCUGAGAGCACUGAGGAGCACCUGGACCCAGUAACUUCUCUAAAUCUAGUGUGGGGGAAGAUGCGCCCCUGCCAUGGAGCCAUGUUCUAUGGCAGGCAACCACUGGUCAAUAAAAAAAAAUCAGAUGAUGUCAAGUGUAUAUCUAAUUGACAUUAAAAUACACAUUUGAAAAUUUGGAAAUCCUUUUUUAAAUAAAAUUUUUAAAUUUCAUUUUUAAUAUAUUUAGGGAGUCUAAGUACAGGAUUCUUCCAUGCAUAUAUUGCAGAGUGGUGAAGUCUAGGCCUACAGUGUACUCAUCACCUGAACUGUAACCCAAAGGCUGUUUUUGUUCCUCACCCCUCUGCCACCCUCCCACCUUUUGUA